AUUGAACGCUGGCGGCAUGCCUUACACAUGCAAGUCGAACGGUAACAGGUCUUCGGAUGCUGACGAGUGGCGAACGGGUGAGUAAUACAUCGGAACGUGCCCGAUCGUGGGGGAUAACGAAGCGAAAGCUUUGCUAAUACCGCAUAAGAUCUACGGAUGAAAGCAGGGGACCGCAAGGCCUUGCGCGAACGGAGCGGCCGAUGGCAGAUUAGGUAGUUGGUGGGAUAAAAGCUUACCAAGCCGACGAUCUGUAGCUGGUCUGAGAGGACGACCAGCCUCACUGGGACUGAGACACGGCCCAGACUCCUACGGGAGGCAGCAGUGGGGAAUUUUGGACAAUGGGCGAAAGCCUGAUCCAGCCAUGCCGCGUGCAGGAUGAAGGCCUUCGGGUUGUAAACUGCUUUUGUACGGAACGAAAAGACUCUGGUUAAUACCUGGGGUCCAUGACGGUACCGGAAGAAUAAGCACCGGCUAACUACGUG
rnacentral:rRNA from 1 species